UACGAAGGGGGCUAGCGUUGUUCGGAAUUACUGGGCGUAAAGGGCGCGUAGGCUGUGCUGUAAGUCAGGCGUGAAAGCCCCGGGCUCAACCCGGGAAUGGCGCUCGAGACUCUGGCUCUUGAGUCCCGGAGAGGCGGGUGGAAUUCCUGGUGUAGCGGUGAAAUGUGUAGAGAUCAGGAGGAACACCGGUGGCGCAGGCGGCCCGCUGGACGGAGACUGACGCUGAGGCGCGAAAGCGUGGGGAGCAAACGGG
rnacentral:rRNA from 1 species